GGGAGGGCGGCACCUUCCGUGCCCGCCCCCUCUGUACCUGCCGGGCCGGGCGGUGCCGGGCAUGGGCGGCCCGCGGGGGCAGAGGGGGAGAACGGGGGUGAUCAGAUCACGGAGAAGAAGAAAGACAAGAAAAUGACGAAAAGGAGGAGCGGUCGCCGCCGUAGGGACGUGGCCGCUGUCCCGGAGCCGUGGGAACCGCCGUGAGAGGCAGUGCCGCCCGGUCUCAGCCCGUGGGGAGCUCGGGUCCGUGGGAGAAUCGCCCGGAGCGCGAAGGGGCCCCGACAACAUCGCCUGAGCGCGUGGUGCCCGGGCUGCCCGCGGGGGUGCGGGAACCAGCGUGUGCUGGAAGCCCUUCAGCUGUCAGGGGAGCCCGGUGUAGUUUGUAACCCAAAAGUCUUUUCUCGUUUUCAAGAAAGGAAGCUUGUUGCCCAGCCGGCGUGUCGCUGUGCCAGCCAGCGGGGAGGCCGGGCGGGGGUGUCACCCACCCACGGGCAAACGCUGCCUGGCGCAGUCUGAGGUGAAUAGUAGGUGUUUCAGCUCUCCAGGGGCCAGCUGCUGAGGAGAAAUCACGUAUACAAUCAACAGCCUUUGUCAGCCAGAUUUCUCUCCCCCCUGCUUCUCUCCGUGUGACAGCAACCAGCUGCAAUGAAAGCUGAAGACAUUUUAAAACCACAAGACCCAAAGCCCUGCUGCUUAUUUUGUGCAGCUUUCAGCUGCACAAAAGAAAUGUUCACGUUUCUGACGUGCAAAAGUGAAAAACAGAUAAUCAAAGAUACCACCAAGGUGCUGAAAUACAUUGGAAAUUGCAUAAUGUGUAUCAAUAUAAACACCCCAUUGAUGAGGAUUGGGUUUGCACUGCUACUGAAUCGAUGCCAAAUAAUAUAUUAAUUAUUUUACUGAUAAUAGACUCAUUCCCUUCUGCUCUCUGUGUUCUGAGCCUUUGAAGUUGAGGAAUCACAGCCCUGAGAGGUACUCCCAGAGUUAUGAUGCUUAGUGCAUAUGACCCAGCAGUAAGAAGAUCUGUAGUCUGUGCAGUUGCUUCACCUCUGAGAGAACUAAGUCAAGGCUGCAAAGAGAACAUUACCCAGCCCUGUGUCAUGCAGAGACUUCCUUCACACUGAAGUAAUCCAGUGUUUGCCUAAGGAAUGGUAUAAAGCAGAUGGACUAAAAUAAAUGCACAAACUCUAAAUGUUCAGAAGAGAAGACAAAAAUCAAUUCAUAUUUACACUGUUGGGUUUUUAAGAAAUGAAGUAAUAACUCACUCAAUUCUCAAUAUUGUUCUUGAAUAUACAAGAUAUUUGCCAAAGUCUAUAACCAUGUGUGGUUUAUUUUAAAUAUGAUGCAAUCCAUAGCCUGCAUUCUUCUUAAUUUUGCAGUAUGAGUUGUCUUUAUCCAUUAUUUAUUGUGCUCAAAUAUGAGGAGGAUCAGAAUAUUAGACAGAAAUAGCACAGUGGCUUUGAGUAUGACUUGUAGAAAUGAGAUGAAACUGAGUAGUAAAAACAGCAGUGCUUAAGGGUCUGGAUUGAGAAUGAUUGCAGGGGAGAUCCAGGAGUGGCUGGGAGUUGCCCUGGCAAUGUGGCCUUAGAAAGAUGAAUGCAGGUCCCUGGGGCUUCUGGUAAGAGAUUCCCACAAAAGCCAGGGAUGCAUUAGUGCCAUUGUGCAAGGCCCUAAAGCACCUUAUCAGGAAUAAUGUGUAUGAUUCUCUCUGUCCAUUUUCUAGAAGUGAAUUUAGAUUGGAACAGGUUCAGAGGACAAAUAGCAUGUCUGGGAAAAUAGGAAAGAGGAGAUGAGGCACCAUGGCAAAACAAAAUGACAGAAGAUCAAAGAAAAUAUAUAAAAUAUAUAUAUAUACUUCCAAUGGAUAGGUGUAAUUUCUGUUGACUUGAUAUAAUUUCUGUUCCUACAUGUAAUUUCUUAACAAUCAACAGAGUCAUUUUCAGGUGGUGAGAGACUUCAUGAGCAACAGGGAGGAAAUAUAUUAUUUUAAAUAAAAGAUUAUGUUCAUUCCAGAAGUAUUUAUAAAUUAAUAACAGACACAUUUCUAGAGAAAUGUACAGAUUCCUAAUUCUGAAGACAGUCUGUAAUGUGUCUCCAGCAGAAUUAAGUGGGAACUAAAAGAUUUUAGUGCUUUAAAGCUGGAGCUCAAGACAAAGUGAUUCUAUACAGUGUUGCUUUUAACACCAAAGGACAGGACUCAGUCCAGAAAAUCCCUUUAGUUUUUCUGUUCAUCUUUGUCUUUUAGGUAUCUUGCCAUCUAAAAAGUAAUAAUAAACCAAAUCACUGCUAUGGAAGGAAUUCAAAAUCCUUCUGUCUGAAGUUUUCUAAAACUAAUAAUGAUUUGGGGGUCCUUUGAAGAACAAUGGCUUCCAAACAAAUCUGUCAAAUAUUAAUUUAAGUCUGUUUAGUCUACAGCAGUGAAAUUGCUUUGAAUAGAAAAUACAUGAUAAAAUAUGUGUAAUGGGUCUUGUCAAAAAGCUUUUUCACUCUGUUUUGCAUUUUCCAAUAACAGACAAUCUCCACUGCCUUUAAUGAAAAGUAAUAAAACUUCUGAAGCCAGAACUGAUUGCUGGUUAAUUUAAAAGAAAGGAAAGUUUAUUACCUCUCUUUGCAGUAUACUGCUCAUUCUCUGAAUCUAGAAGUCAGUGGUUAAAUAAAGUCUCUCUGGGAGGAAUUUUCCAUUGUGAGUCAUAAGCAUUGGAUUGACAACCUUUAUAGAAAUUUAAAUGCAACCCUAUUAAACAAUACACUUCUAUAAAAGCUGAGGGAUAAAUUCCUCUCACUGAGUGCGGGGGCACUAAGGUGCAGUAUCUGAGAGAAUGACCUGCAGGGAGUUUAUGUAGCUAUGAGAAGCCAUGAGGUUGGGAUCUGCCUGGCUGGAGGAGGACAGGAUAUCUAAUGGUACAGAGCCCAUCAGCCAGCAGCAAUUAUCUAAAUGGUGUUUGCCCACAGGAAUAAAGCAACAGCCACAUAAAUAAACAAUUGUUGGGCUUAUUUCAAUAUCACGUUAGAGCUGGAUAUUGCUCUUGCAAACAUCACUUGAAACAAGUAUUUCAGUAAAAUGAAAAUAACUAUCACAAUACUUCCUGGCCUGUAUUUUAAGUGUACAAAAUUUAGGAAAAAAAAAGUCCUCUAAACUUAUUUUGUGUUUUCAUCAAUUUUGUCUCCCAUAACUAUCAGUUUUGGCUUAAUUUUGAGUUUUCCCCUGUAAACUCUGGGUUACCUAUAAGUGAAAAGUGUAUAUGUGUGCAAAAUUAAAAAUUUCAAACACUACUCCUGUCACUAAAAAAAAAAAAAAAACAUUGGGGAAAUUACAGUUUCCCAUAUUUAAAACAAUUGGCAAAUGUAAUGCCAGUCAACCCUCUUGGGAUGGUGAGCAUACACAUGAAGGAGAAAACUAGAGAGAUCACAGAUGAUGUUGUAAUGAUGCACAGGAAGAAUGCUGAGAAGAGGAUAUGUGAAGAUGCUGGACAGCUUUCUGGAACAACAGAGAAGGCAACACCAGCAGCUAUUUUGGGAAUGUGUAACAUCCCUGUUCUGACUGAAUCUGAGCACUCAGAAAUGCCAGUGUGUGGCCACAAGUUUGUGAUGCUGACCCUGGCUGCUGGACUGGGCUCAAGGUGAAGCUUUUGGACACAGACACUUCUUUGUGGUGGCAAUUCUAGAAGCAGUUCUCAAAGUCUACAAAGCUACAUGAGCUUAAAAGCCACCACUCCUAAUAUAAUCCCUUCUGGCAUCAGGUCAGGAACAUGGUGCUGUGCAAGUUAUUUCUUGUUUUCACCCUUCUGCUAUCACCACCUCUAUCCUGCUUAAGAUCUGCACUGGUAGGAGCUUCCUGGGGAAGGGCAUUGCAAGGUGUUUGUAAGCUACAAACCCCAUGCAGCUCACCACUGUGGUUCUCAGAGUGCAGGAGUGCCAAAAGAGAAAUGCAGUGAGGCCCUGCCACUUCAAGAGUGUUACUAUUAACAUUUUCUGUCUUGUAGCAUUAAUUUUUGUCAACAUCCAUGUCUACAUGUUAUUUCUUGUUUCUUAAAGCAAAUUAUUGUUUACUGCUAGUGAUCAGCUGCUCUAACUUCUCACUCAAACCCAGCUACUAAUAAAACAUCAACGUUUGUGCUUUGCUGUACAUAUGUUUUUCUAUUGGUAAAACUGAAUAGCUCGUUAUGCCAAAUGUUUGAACAAGCAGAUGAACAAAACCCAGUAAAGAAUCUACACAAGUGAGUUGGUUUCUACACAUUCUCCUGAGCCAGCAAUCAGAGAUUUAAAGUAUUUAGAAACAAAACAAUCCAUUAACCAGUGCAGUCCAUAAAAUUAAUCAGCCAUAAUAUACUCUCUAAGAUUAGCAGUAGUUUCCCACCAGCCAUAACCUCUCUCCCUCCAGCAAAACAGGCACUUUACAGGUCUGUAUCACUCCCUGGCUCAUGCCAGCCCACAAUCCAGAGAGCAGCACAGCUAUUUACAGUUGGUUUCAUUAAAAUUGCCUUGUAUUGCAGAGAUGGGAGCAUUCAUACACGUGUAUGUAUGUAUUUUAUGUGUAUAUGUACGUAUUAUUUGUACGUAUAUAAUCACUGGUUUUUUGUGUCCUGCACUUCUAUUCCAACAAGGAUGCAUCCUGUCCACUUUGGUAAACUCUGAUGAGAGAAGAACCAUUUAAUUUCAACUAGCUUGGAGAAUAUCACUUAUCUUUGGCCUUUCCAAUGCAUUUUAUACUGAAACUUCUGCAGCAGCAGAGGCUGUAACUGGACUUUCAAUGUAACUUUCCUGUCUGGAUGAGGUUUUAUAGCCCAGGGCCUCAGGACAGGCAGGAUUUCCAAGAUACAUUUUAUUGGAAAGCUUUGAAUAGCUCUGCUCCUUCACAUGGAUUUUUGAAAUCACUGCUGGUCAUGCAAGAUAAUUUGAAUCCAAAGUCAUGUGGAAAACCUCCCACUCUCAAAGUCCUGAUGUGUUUGCCAGUUUUGUAAGCAGUUGCCCUAUAAAUAUAAAUCUCUUCCUAUGGUAAACAUUUACAAUGAAUCAAAGAGAUCUGUAGUGGAUGCUUGAUGAGUUCAACAGAUGUAUGAGAUUUCAAAGGCUCUGCAAACAUGACUGGUUCUCCAGUGGGUAGUCUUACCUGAAGUGAGGUAGAUGAUAUUUUUACUAAGAAAAAGUGUGGGAAUUUUUCCAGACCUGGAAACAGCCAUAGCUCAGUAUGCAACUCUUUUGUAUUCUCUUUUCAGCCACUGCUGACUUAAAUUCUAAAUUAUUCUAUGAAAUCUCUUUUUGGUUUCUUAGCAAGUAGACUUAUGCCUCUCUUGAGUUUAGUUACAGAGAGUAAAGGUACAGAGACUGGAUCAUCAAUAUUAAGAUUUGUUAAAUGUAUGAUUACUAAAUGAAGAAAUUUCCAAUUAUUCUGCUUUGCGCCAUAUUUUUUUUCAAAAUGUUAACAAAAUCUUUCUUGAUUGAUAAGUAUUGAUAAAAAUAAAUCUGGAUAAAUUUUCUGAUAGCUUCCAUUUCAUAAUGUUAUGUUUGUUUCCAGUGUUUCUAGUGAUCUCUCACUUGCCCCACCAAAAAUACUGAAAAAGAGAAACUAUAGUAAGUGUUCAUUCUAAUACAGGCACAUCAAGGAAGUGCAGAGAACAUGACAGCAUGGUAAUCAGUAUACCAACUGAUGGUGGCAAUGCUUUCUGCAAUUACAAACCUGGCUCUGGCUUCUCUCAGGCUCUCUCAAAAUUCUGUUCAAAUUGAUGAGGCAAAGUUUAAUGUUCACAGAAUUUUUCACUGAACUUAUGCCCCUGUUUUAAUUCUGUGAGGAUGGGAUGCCAAUGGCAGGAGCAGAGAUUUGGGAAAAGGCAUCAUCCUUGCCGUCAGGCCCAGGAUAGUGCAGGAACAGUUUCUAAUGUUGGUGGCAUUUUCUACUGAAGGAACACAGCAGGAGAUAAAAGGUGGGUGGAGUGGCUGGCAUUUAGCUGAGUCACACUGCUUCUAACAUCAAAAGAAUUUCAGUUCAAUAAUUGGCCAAAGGGUCAACCAGAUCCUUGCCUUGCCUAAGGCAAUAUUUCCAUGAUGCUUUUGGUCUGUGCAAUUGCUUCCAUACAAACAAGUCAGGGAGCCUAGGCAAACUCCUUAAUUCUUAGAGGGCUUUAUGCUGGGCUAGGAAUUGUCAUUUUCUUAAACACUGGACAUGUAACUGCACAGUUUAGCUUCCCCAGUUGUGUUUAUUGUGCGGUUCUGGUAUCUUUUCUCAUCCGUUGAAUAAUUGAGCUGGUUUGCAAUAAACACUUUUAAUCUGUGCUGCCUACGUUUUAGGUAAUUAUGGUCUUGCUAAAUAAGUUUUUA